rnacentral:rRNA from 1 species
GAUGAACGCUGGCGGCGUGCCUAAUACAUGCCAGUCGAGCGAACAGACGAGGAGCUUGCUCCUCUGACGUUAGCGGCGGACGGGUGAGUAACACGUGGAUAACCUACCUAUAAGACUGGGAUAACUUCGGGAAACCGGAGCUAAUACCGGAUAAUAUAUUGAACCGCAUGGUUCAAUAGUGAAAGACGGUUUUGCUGUCACUUAUAGAGGGAUCCGCGCCGCAUUAGCUAGUUGGUAAGGUAACGGCUUACCAAGGCAACGAUGCGUAGCCGACCUGAGAGGGUGAUCAGCCACACUGGAACUGAGACACGGUCCAGACUCCUACGGGAGGCAGCAGUAGGGAAUCUUCCGCAAUGGGCGAAAGCCUGACGGAGCAACGCCGCGUGAGUGAUGAAGGUCUUCGGAUCGUAAAACUCUGUUAUUAGGGAAGAACAAAUGUGUAAGUAACUAUGCACGUCUUGACGGUACCUAAUCAGAAAGCCACGGCUAACUACGUG